GUUUGACCUCAAAUCAGGUAGGAAUAGCGGCUGAACUUAAGCAUAUCAAUAAGCGGAGGAAAAGAAACCAACAGGGAUUGCCUUAGUAGCGGCGAGUGAAGCGGCAAAAGCUCAAUUUGAAAUCUGGCGCCUUCGGUGUCCGAGUUGUAAUUUGAGAUUGUAACCUUGGGGUUGGCUCUUGUCUAUGUUUCUUGACAGGACGUC
rnacentral:rRNA from 1 species